rnacentral:rRNA from 1 species
GAUGAACGCUGGCGGCGUGCCUAAUACAUGCAAGUCGAGCGAACGGACGAGAAGCUUGCUUCUCUGAUGUUAGCGGCGGACGGGUGAGUAACGCGUGGAUAACCUACCUAUAAGACUGGGAUAACUUCGGGAAACCGGAGCUAAUACCGGAUAAUAUUUUGAACCGCAUGGUUCAAAAGUGAAAGACGGUCUUGCUGUCACUAUAGAUGGAUCCGCGCUGCAUUAGCUAGUUGGUAAGGUAACGGCUUACCAAGGCAACGAUGCAUAGCCGACCUGAGAGGGUGAUCGGCCACACUGGAACUGAGACACGGUCCAGACUCCUACGGGAGGCAGCAGUAGGGAAUCUUCCGCAAUGGGCGAAAGCCUGACGGAGCAACGCCGCGUGAGUGAUGAAGGUCUUCGGAUCGUAAAACUCUGUUAUUAGGGAAGAACAUAUGUGUAAGUAACUGUGCACAUCUUGACGGUACCUAAUCAGAAAGCCACGGCUAACUACGUG